GUUGGCGGCCAUAGUUAGGAGCUAGGACCCGUACCCAUUCCGAACACGGAAGUGAAUCUCCUAAGCGAUCUAGGUUGUAGUGUUGUGCGAGAGCCUACGCGAACCCUAGACCGCUGCCAACU
rnacentral:rRNA from 1 species